rnacentral:rRNA from 1 species
CCUACGGGAGGCAGCAGUGGGGAAUAUUGGACAAUGGGGGGAACCCUGAUCCAGCGACGCCGCGUGAGUGAAGAAGUAUUUCGGUAUGUAAAGCUCUAUCAGCAGGGAAGAAAAUGACGGUACCUGACUAAGAAGCCCCGGCUAACUACGUGCCAGCAGCCGCGGUAAUACGUAGGGGGCAAGCGUUAUCCGGAUUUACUGGGUGUAAAGGGAGCGUAGACGGCAGCACAAGUCUGGAGUGAAAUGCCGGGGCUUAACCCCGGAACUGCUUUGGAAACUGUGCAGCUAGAGUGCAGGAGAGGUAAGUGGAAUUCCUAGUGUAGCGGUGAAAUGCGUAGAUAUUAGGAGGAACACCAGUGGCGAAGGCGGCUUACUGGACUGUAACUGACGUUGAGGCUCGAAAGCGUGGGGAGCAAACAGGAUUAGAUACCCCUGUAGUC